rnacentral:ncRNA from 1 species
CGAUAGAGGUGCAUUUUGUUAUGAGUAGUUGCGACGUAAAGGUUUGCCGAAGCCGUUGCAAUGAAAGGAGCAGGUGCCGAAGACGAUUUACGGCAAAAAAUCGAUCUGGCAAUGGGGAAUAAGAUCCGUAUUGCUGUCACCGUUUUGGUGGAGAGCUAUCUU